GAGAGGAUGAGACAAAUGCCCUACCAUAUGCACAUAAAUCUUGAGCUUCUAGAAGCAGUCCAUUUAAUUUGUGCUAUGCUCCUUGAGGUUCCCAACAUGGCUCUAAACUCAAAUGAUGUUAGACAGAAAGUGAUGAAUAAGAAUUUCCGUAGACUCCUUGAUAUUAGUGAACGACAGACUUUUGGAGGACCUCCUGAAAAUGUUAGAGACCAUAUAAUGGCUGCGGCAAAAGCUCUUAGAAAGGGAGAUUUUGAGAAGGCCUUUGAUUUCAUCAGCUCCCUUGAUACAUGGAAGCUUUUGAAGAACAAAGAAAGUGUUCUGGCAAUGUUGAAAUCCAAGAUCAAAGAAGAAGCUUUAAGGACAUAUUUAAUUUCCAAUGCGUGUAGCUACGUGUCGUUGAGUUUGGAUCAUCUCAUUCUUAUGUUUGGCCUUUCUAACACACAAGUUCACAGCAUUGUGAGUAAGAUGAUGAUCACAGAGGAAUUGCAAGCAAGCUGGGACCAACCUGCAAAGUGUAUAAUAUUCCAUAGUAUGGAGCAAACAAGAGUGCAGACCCUCGCUUUCCAGCUUUCAGACAAACUCGGCGUUCUUGCUGAUAGCAAUGAAAGAGCAUAUGAGGUCCGAACAGGUGGUAGUUUGGAUGGGCUUCCUUCAAGACGGCGGACAGAUGGUCAGGAUUAUUCUGGAAAAUGGCAAGAUAAUAUCUUCACAUCACAAGGAAGGCAAGGUGGCGGUGGAGGACGUACAGGUUAUACUGGAAGAUUUGGGGGCUCUACACAAUCUUCGGUGGGAGUAUUCUCAAGGGACAAGGGAGUUGGAGGAGGGUAUGGAAUUCGGGGCACCGGUGGUGGUGCUCGGAAUCAAGAUGGAAGACAUUCAUAUCAAACAGGAUUGUCUAUGAAAGGAAGGCAGGCAGAUGCUUCAAGUCGUAUGGUUAGUCUUAGCAGGGGUGACAGAUUUUAAUGAAUGACUGUCUGACUUGGUAUUUUUUGCUUAUUGGCAAUUUUCUUAUAGCAUCGAUGAGGAUUAAAUCAUGAUCUUGAUAUAUUUUGUUUCUUCAAAUUAAACCAGUUUUAAGUUAUUGAUAAGUCAUGAUGAUGUUCUUGAUAUUAGAUUUAAUAAUUAUAAACUUUUAAUACUAUUCUGUUUUAUGUUGAAGUUCAAUUAUUCAUGCUUGUGUGAUUGUGUUUACAUUUUGCAUUAGCUUUUAAAUCUCAGUUUAGUUAUUUUUUUAGCGAGCUCUAUUGAAGUUCUUUUAUAUUGCAGUAACAUAUGGUAGCAGCUCUUCGUCGCCAUAUCAAUCCUGCAAUCAUUUAUCUGAUCAUACCUUGUAUGAUUUACUUACUCUAACAUUUAUUAGCAACAUAUUUAACGGUUAAUCCGUCAAAGCAGAAUUUGAAUUUUUAAAGUAAAAUAGAUUAGAUGAUUAUUUAAUUAUUUUCCUUCGAAAAAGACGUUAAAAAAUGUCAAAAAGAAAGAAGAAGAAAAUAUGGUGCUUACGGCUUACCCAGACAUCCAGGUUUUGACGUUUUAGAUAUAGAGAUAACUUCCAAAGCAAGAACAUGGGAGAUGCUGGCGCAGAUUUGAGAAAAUGGCGGAUUGUGAUCAAGAAAUUCCCACUCCACCCCCUACUCUGGCCAUGCUUUUUUGGUACAGUCAGCUCGAACACUCCUCCAGCAGUAGUUCUAGUAAAAAAAGAGCAAGCGAUUGGUAUGGAUUAUGGAUUCGUCAUCGUUUUUCUUCUUCUUUCGGUAUCAUUUGUUUGACGAUGAUGUGUUUGUGUUAAUGCCCAUGUCAGGAUUUUCUCCGAGGAGACCCCAAGUGAUAUCACUAUUGAUGUCGGAGGGGACGUCUUCAAUUUACAUAAGGUACGACGGGUUUAACUUGUUGGUACCAAAGUUGUGUAUUUGUAAUCCCGAUGGCCAUAUUGCAGUUCCCUCUGGUAUCAAAGUCUGGUUACCUGAAGAAAUUGCUCUCCAAGGAUAAAAAUGUCACCAACCUGUCCAUCGAGGUUGCCGAUGUUUCAAAAGCCUUCCAACUGGUAGUCAAUUUCUGCUACGGAAAAGAUUUCCAGAUAACCAUCGAAAACAUUGCGGCGCUCCGUUGCUUGUCGGAACAGCUUGAGAUGACAAACAAGUAUUCACCCAACAAUCUUGUCAGUGUAACAGAGGAUUACAUCCAACGUGUUGCAUUAACCAGUUUUCCUAACGCGAUCACUGUGUUGCGUUGCUCUGAAAAACUUGGUAAUGCUCCCAUCGUUGAGAGAGUCAGAUUGGUGAGUAGAUGUAUCAAUGCGAUAGCUUACAUAGCAUGCGACCAAGAUGAGUUCUACUCCUCACUGACAAAUGAAAAUCACCAAGGGUUUAUGGAUUGCUGGGCACAAGAUUUGACAGCCCUUGGGAUCGAUACAUUGGGAAAAGUUUUGUUUGCAAUGGCAAAAGCUGGAGUUAAACAGGAUGCUCUGGGGACAAUUCUUCUUCUCUAUGCUCAGAAAUCACUAAAAGGAAUUGUGAGUCAUCAAUGAAUUGAUAAUUCUUUUUAGUGAUUUCAUUUGAUUUUAAAUUUUUGAUGCAGGACAUAUUUGGGAGAGGAAGAAAGAAGAUGGAGUCAAGAAAGCAGUAUGAGAAAAAAGAGUGAUACUAGAAACCAUUGUUGGUCUUUUACCAAAGGAAGCAAGAGCCACUCUGCCAGUUACUUCUCUUAGCAUGUUGUUAAGAGCAGCGAUUUAUCUCGAAACAACAAUAGCUUGCAGGCUUGAUCUUGAAAAGAUGAUAAGUUUCCGGUUAGAUCAAGCCACAUUGGAUGAUCUUCUGAUUCCAUCUUUCUCCAUUGCCGAUGACACUUUGUUAGAUGUGGACACUGUUCAGAGGAUCUUGGUGAGCUUUUUAGAAUCCCAGAUUGAUGAUGAUAGUGUUGAUGACAUGGAGGAGGAGGAAUGUAAAAAGAAGAACAAAAAGGAGAGUAAGGUUGGAAAGCUCAUGGAAUUCUACCUUGCAGAGAUUUCUACUGACCUAAACUUAUCAGUUUCCAAAUUUGUUGGAUUUGCUGAGUUGAUCCCAGAAGAAGCAAGAACCACCGAAGAUGGCAUGUACAGAGCAAUCGAUAUCUAUCUCAAGGUAGUUCAAGAAGAGAUUGUGAAAUGUUAAUUAACAUCUAUCAUCAUAUAUUUUUUCUAAAAUGAUGUGCAGGCACAUCCGUCGCUAAACGACGUUGAGAAGAAGAAAAUCUCUAGUGCCAUGGAUUGCCAAAGGCUCUCUCUCAAGGCUUGCACUCAAGCAGCCCAUAACCAGAGGCUCCCUGUGCAGACCAUGGUUCAAGUUCUCUAUUACGAGCAGCAUCUUCUCCUUCUCCUGGAAGAAGAACUACAACAGGAACAGGAACAUGAACAAAUUCGUAACUGGCAGAUGAAGGUGCACCUUUAAGUGAACGGCGGGAUAAACUAAGAAUGGCGGGAUAAACUACGGUCUCUCCUUCUAAACCUCAUUUCAGUAAGUUUUGUGUAACACUGCACAAAACAUGUUUCAUUUGAAAUUUAGAGAGAGAAUGAGAAAUGAAAAUUGUGUUUGCAACCAGAAGGAAUUCACUGUGUUUGCAAGCGUUUCCCUUGCAGGUAUUUUUCUAUGAAACAGUGCUUGCAGACAUGCCAUUUUUAUAAAAAUUAAGACUUUACAAUGUGUGGCUAUAAUUAUUCUUGUUAAUUUGAUCUAUUAAUGUAGAUUAGCUAUGAAUUUGAUUUUUUACGUGAAGCUGAUGCAAUGAAGAGAAUUCGUAAAUUUGUGUAUGCUGCCAAUAAGAAACCUCCGGUUUUGAUACCUCGUGAAAUUAGCGGAUUGACAACUAGGUAUGACAAUCAGGUAUUUUUAAUUCUUUUGAAAAACUCCAGUUUUGAAAACGAAUUUAUUGGUGAUAGGGUAAUCUGAGUUUGUAAGCCAUAUGUUUGUAAAAUCAUUUGUGUUUUCAUAUUAGAUAUGAUUCAUGAGAUAGGUUUUGUAAAAUGAUAUGAAUCUUAUUAUCACUGUAUUUCACUCUUUGUGGAUUGACAAAUAGCUCAAUUAUAGGGGAUAUUGUAAUAUGGGGUAUGCUCAAUUAUUGACAGAUGUUCCAAUAAAAUAUACAUGUUCUUUUUAUAUAGAGAGACAUUAAUAGGUGUAGCCGCCGUGUAGGUAUAAUUUUAAAACUCAAUACUGCCAUAUAAAGUCAAUGGUUAUAGUUUUGCUGCAGUUCACUUAUUCUACAGUGUUUCAUAAUUUCACGUAUUCUUUAUUUUAAGAUACCUAAUCGUGGUACUUUCCAAGGUUUUAUCGACAGUCAUGCGGAGCUGACCGCAUGAGUCAGCUACACAUUUUGGGAUAUUUUGCAAAUAUCGUCCUACAUUUUCUUGUAUUUACACAAUAUAAAUAAAAUAUUAAGAUUUGAGAAAUGGAGAAAUAGAGAAUUGGAAUACUCGCUGGAGGUCUAACAGAUGUUGGAAAGGGUGGCUGAAGACUGUUCAGAGUGGAUAAGAAAACAGUGUAGAAAUCAAGCUCGUUGCUUUUUUUUAUAUUUAUUUAACCAUUUAAUGGUUAAAUGAUUAAGUGGAUCUGACCCAGCACAUAAAGGUGCUGGGCAGUAUACUCGCCUGGCCAAGCGCAUGAAAAACCUUGGUAUUUUCAACAUUGUUGCCUAUCAAUUUAGGAAUGCAAACGAGCCGAGCUAUACACUUAGAUUUGGGCUCAGCUUGCUAAGGUUUUAGUACAGCUCUGGCUUGAGCUCUCUAAGCUUGAUCGAACUAGACUUCAGCCCGGCUCGAAACAUGGGAUCGCAAGUCCAAUAUCUCAAAAAUUAAUUUUAAAUAUUAAAUUUACAGUACCUGUAACUUGAACACAUGACAUUUUCAAAAACUUUUAAAUAAAUUAACCACUCAACCAGAAUUUCUCUAUUUAUAUUUAAUGAAAAUACAUUGUAUAUUAUUAUUAUUGAGCAUAAUGAGCCGAGAUCAACCUUAAUAAUCCUUGCUCGGCUCGUUAAGCUUGACGAGCUUAGACCCUAGACUUGAUCUCAGCUCUUUAAACUCACGAAUCGAGCUUAGAACUUGCAACCCUACAUCCCUACCUAUCAUAUUAAUUAAUUUAUUUGAUUUUGAUGAUGUUCAUUUCUAAAUUUUUUUUUGCUAUUAUCAUACCUCAUAGUAUCAAUAUACAUUCUACGUUUAAUGUCAGGAGGGUCCUAGUAAUGGAUUUCAUUGAGGGAAUUCCGAUACUUAAUCUUGAAAUUGAAAUGGUUAUGUGUGGCCUUAAGCCCUUAAUCCUUAUGGGAAGAUAUCAGAUGCUGCAAAGAAGUAACUCUCUCCGAGCACAAGAUUGCAGUCUCUUUGAUUUUAAUAUGUAUACUCAUCUCUAUCUGUCGCUUUUGUUGCUUAUUCAUAUAUAUUGCUUGCACUGUUAAUUAAUUUUAUAACCUAUAACUUCACGAUAUUCUAAAGAUUGCAGUCUUCCCGUUUUUAUACUUUUAUGAAUGGUAUAAUAUUUGUACAUCCAUUGUAGAUCGUAACAUAGUGCUAGGUAAUGUAAUACUGAAGUUAUGGUCGUUGAUCUUUUUGUGACAGAAAUAUCUUGAAGAACUUGACCAAUGCUUAUGGUCAAAUGAUAUUAAAGAGUGGGUUCUUUCAUGCAGACCCUCAUCCUGGAAAUAUUUUGAUUUGUAAGAAUUCUGAGGUAUGUUUUCAAUUAUAGAAACAUCAGCUUUCUCUCUAUAUACUUUAAUCAUUUCGUAUCACGUGUUUUUCAGGUUGCAUUGCUAGACUAUGGACAAGUAAAACAUCUCCCAGAAUAUUUGAGGCUAGGAUAUGCUAAUCUUGUUCUUGCUAUGGCAGAUAAUGAUCCUUUGAGAGCAGUACAGAGUUACAAGUAUGUGUAUGUGUCGUAAACUAUUAUGCAUAGACGGUAUAAAGUUACAGAUUUGACAUGUUUACAUAUGAUAAUUGUUGAACUCGUGAAGAAUUUAAUUACAAAGUCAAAGCAUUGCUAAUACUAUUUUACAGGAAUUUACAUUCUUUAGUAGAUAUCAUCGCCAAUUCACUCUCUUUCUAGUGGUUUGAUAUUAUUAAGAGUAAUUUUGCAGAGACCUUGGAAUUGAAACAUCGAGUACAUGUGCUGAUGAAUCGAAGGAGUUGCUUCAAUUGGCUCGGUCAAUGUUUGAUACUAAGCUCCCACCUGGAGUAACAAUUUUAUCUCCAUUUGCAGAAGAUUCAUCAUUACAAAAAGUUUCUGUUCCAGUAAGAAAUUAGUUUUGAGUAUUGUACGGUAUUGCAACAGAAUCAUUAAUUGGACAGUUUAAUCUUAAUUGCAGAGUUUUCCAGAGGAGUUGUUCUCUGUUCUACGCACAAUGCAAUUGCUGAGAGGACUUAGUGUUGGUAUGGGUGUGAAUUAUUCUUGUGCAGAACAGUGGAGGCCUAUAGCCGAAGAGACAUUGCAUAAAGCUGGAAAAUUGAAAGGUAUCGAUUGCUUGAUAUAUUGAGAUGCAAAUUAUAUGCAUCAUAUUGUAUAGAAAAUAUGUGACUAUUGCAAUAUUGCUUAUUUUACUUCAGAUUUUGAACUCAGAUCGAGGAAGCAAGGAGUGUUGAGAAAAAAAUUAGAGAGAUGACAAAGAAAUGGUGGUAUAAUGAAAAAUAUUUUUUUAUGAUUUGAUGUAUACACUCAUUAUUAUUUGUGUAACCAAAGCAACACGUUUUCUUUGUAUGAAAAUUGAAAUAAUGGCAAUUAACCAACCUAUUACAUAUCAAUUAUCAUUAAAUAACUGAAUGAAAGAAAUGGUGAUCUUGUUUUCAGCAAUCUCUUCCAAGCAUUUCCAUCUGGCGUCGCGUUUUCUGGUAAUUUCCAUUUCUUUCAUUUCCACUUCAUGCAAUUUGCUGAUGCAUCCACGGAUUAAUUCUGGAUCAUGAUCAUAGAUUAUUUUCCUCACACUUAAUGUAAGACUCUGCACAGCACGGUUCCAAUGAUUCUUAUUUCUCUCUAAAGCAGGGAGGACGAUGGGAAGUAUGACUCUGAUGUUUUGCCUGAUCAUAUUCUCAAUGCGAUCGUUGUUCCGUAAAAACAACGCCCGCUCAGCCACCUGUGCACAUGCAUUGUUUGAGAGAGAGAGUAUGAAAAAAGAAGAGAAUGAAAAAUAAUAACCUGAAAAUGUGGGCUGGAAAUGCAGCUUCCAAUCUGUUGAAAGAGUGGGAUCAUGCACCGUUGAAAUUCAGGAAUCUCUGUUAAAUCAAGGAUUUGUUCUAAUUCCACCAGGAACAUUACUUCCUUUGAGCUAUUUGUCAAUGGCCAAUACUUAAGCAUACCCCUUAUUACAGAAUCAGCAAGUUUGCAGUCUUUAUCUACAAACUGUGCAAUGCAGUGUGACAACUGGCGAUGAUAAGAUGGUAGUGACUUAGGUUUAUGCAGAGGAAUCAAUACCUUUAUGAGAAACAGUUUAUGUUCUUCUUUAAGUGGCAGAGCAAAUCCAUUGAUAAUACUGCCUAGGAUCUCUAAAAGCUCUGCAAUCCCAUUGUGGUUCUCUAUUUCAAAUAUUAAUUGAAAGAAGAUAUUGUUUACAGCUCUCCUGAUAAAUGGGCGAUGAACCGUGAAUUUACCAUACAUUCGUUGAAGAAUAGCCUUUAAGUACUCUCUUUCUCUUUGACUUCAGAGUCAAACAAUUCCAGUAACUUCAAAACAGUCAAUUGGUCUAUAUAUCUCUUUGCCAACUUGACAUCUGUUUCUGGAGAUGUAAUGAACCUGGGCAGUAACUCGUACACAGCAUGUAAAUGCAGCCAUGCAGGUUCCAUGGAUGCUUCGUCUUCAUCUGUUUCAAAGUCUUCCACACCCUUAUUGGACGGACUUAAUGCUCUGAAUAGGUUGAGAGAGAUCAUUCUCAUGACUUCUUUCAUGAUAAUCUCCGGAAACUUUGAAUUUGCAGAAUUGACAUAUUCUACCAGCUCCAAAAGUGUCCGUCGUUUGACAUCUUUCUCAGUUAAAUUCUUGGUCAUGUCAGUGAAAUCGAAGAUAACAUAGCACAUGUUGAGUUUUUUGAUGAACAAAUCCUGUUUCUCAGCAGCGCUAGAUAUAUCAUCAAAUCCUGGAAGUGGUUCAUGUACCUAGUUGAUCGCAUUUGAUUGCUGGUAGUCAUUGCUGUUCUCGAAUUUUAUUGGAUUUUUAGGUAUUCGUCCUAGAAUUUGUUUGAUCAUCAUGUCUAGCAACUAUCAAGAUCGUAGAAUUAACAUUCUUAUUAUAUCUACUCUACUUUUUAGUUUACUUGCAAAUAAUUAACAUUCUUCUUCUAACCUCUAUCCUCUUGAUUUCCUUUGUUUUGUCUGGUGUAGUGGUGGAUGAAAUUGUCAGGGGAAAUAAAGCAAUUAACCCCUUAAACCCUUAAGAAAGAUAAAACAAGUACACAAGAGAAAUAAAGCAAUUAACCCCAUAAGGGCUAAUAGACAAAUAACCCAAUAUGAGGGUAUAUAAUGUAACUCAGUUAUUAUAAUUUACAUCAUCAAGUUUAUCUCUAUUACAUCAUCUAUCUUCCUCCUGUACUACCUCUCUUCUCCGAUCAUCAAUCUGCUCCUCCGACUUCUCCGACCAUCUUCACUUUCUCAACAUGGUAUCAGAGCCAUCGAUCCUACACCGCUCUCAAUCUCUGAGUUCCCUCUCCGAACACACACAAGCAACCUUCCUACAAAAACAGGCCAACAACACCUCAACCCAAUCCCCUCCACCACUACCCAAUCUCGAAAAUCCAGAGGAUGACAGCAUCCUCAUCAACGGAACCAUCAACAAUCCCCAUCGCCUCCCAACGUCCUAUAACAUAAACUCACUCUUUCGCAACCCCAUGAACAAGACAGAUUAUAUCUGUUGGAAGUCGCACUUCCUGGGAGUCUUGAAACUCCAUGAUCUCUCCGGCGUAAUCAAUGAACCGGACCAGAAGUUGGAAACCACUACUGGGGAUGUCAACACCCAAUACUCAAAAUGGGUGAAGUCCGAUCAACUUGUACUCACGUGGAUAAGAGCAACUGUCUCCCCGGCGGUACAAUCCAUGAUCCUACACUGCACCACCUCAAAGGAGGCAUGGCACUUGCUGGAUCGGUUCCUCUCGCCACUAUGCAGUAUCCAUAUCAAGGCACUGAGGACAAAGCUACGAGCCACCAAAAAGAAGCCUGAAGUCUCCAUGUCUGAGUACUUGAUGAAGGUCAGAGCAACCAUCGAUGCCAUUCGUGCUGCCGGCUCCGUGAUAGCUGAGGAAGAAAUCAUUGGCUUCGUGGUUGACGGACUCGACGAAAACUACAGAAGUUUCCUGACGCAUCUUCACUUCAGCCCAGCCACAUCAUUUGACGAAUUGGUCAGUCACCUUCUCCAAGAAGAGGAUCUGCUCAAAAGAACAGAGCAGCCGGUCAACCCCAUCGCAUUCUCCGCGCAACAGCAGUCGUCGCAACAUCAUUCGUCGACAGAAGGAAAUAACUCCAAUCAACAACCGAUAGGAAACAACUCUCACAACCAAAACAACUUCAGAGGCCGGCCCAGGGGACGCGGAGGCCGAUAUCGAGGAGGACGAUUUAAUGGGGGACACUUCGGCAGAGGAGCAAACAAUCAACACUACAGGGCACCAACAUAUCACCCCCCCCCCCAACUAUCGACAUCCAGAACACUUCUCGCCGCCGCUACUACCAACACCAGUCUCUAUCGGUGAACAGGUGUGCCAAAUAUGCAAUCGCGCGGGCCACACAGCGAGGUUCUGUAAUAAUCGGCGUAACUAUGCAUACAACGCUCGCCUCAUCAAUGACGACAACUGUGCCAUGUCCGUCCACAGCAGCGCUCCGUCAGCAACAUCUGAAAGCUCGUGGUGUCUCGACAGUGGGGCGUCGAACCACAUGUCUCCAUCUCUGAACUCCUUCAACUCCUUCCAACCUUAUCAAGGUAAAGAUACUAUCAUGGUUGGAAAUGGUUCCCAAUUGCCGAUACUAAGGCAAGGGACUGUCUCUCUCACGACCUCUCUCGGUCGAAUUUUAAUUCCCAAUGUCCUAUACGUACCAGGACUCCACAAAAACCUACUUUCAAUUCAAUCACUUUCCAAUGAUCUAAACUGUGUUUGUUCCUUUGAUUCUAAUGGGUUCACCGUCAAGGCCAAGGAGACGGGAGCUACUAUCAUGAAUGGCAGUAGUGGCCAAGGCCUUUACCACCUCGACAAUUCAACGACAGGCAUCUGCAAGGGAAAACAAGCGUCUGCCUGUACGAGAUUGACGCCGGUGGUAUGGCAUCGUCGGUUGGGUCAUCCGGCUCAACCGAUUUUAUCUAGCGUUCUAAACUCCGUCUCUCCAGCUUCGAUCGACCGUCGACCAUCUACUCUUCCUUUCUUCCAGGUCUGUGCCCUCAAUAAAGCAAAGAGACCUGCCUUUCAUCAUCGUACCUACAUAGCCAGACAGCCACUGGAACUCAUCCACAUCGACCUUUGGGGGCCGGCUUCGGUGACUUCCAGAGAAGUGUUCAAGUACUAUGCGUGCAUAGUGGAUGAUUUCUCCAGAUUCACCUGGUUCAUCUCUUUAGUUCAAAAAUCCGACUUCACUUCCCAUUUCAUUAACUUUUGUAAUUUCGUCGAACGGUCAUUUGUCUUUAAAAUUCAAAAAAUUCAAUGUGACGCCGGCGGUGAAUUCGUCGGCCACAUUCUUCGAAACACUCUCUCAAAACUCGGUAUCCAACAACGUUUUUCCUGCCCUUAUACGCCACAGCAGAACGGCGUCGCCGAACGGAAACAUGGACACAUCGGCGACGUCGGCAGAUGCUUCCUACACCAGGCAUCACUACCACUAGAGCUCUGGACAGACGCGUACUCGAGCGCGACAUUCGUCAUUAAUCGACUUCCAUCAGUCACAACGAACAAGAAGUCACCGUACGAGGUACUAUUUGGGCGAAUCCCAGACUACUCACUACUACGGACCAUCGGAUGUCUCUGUUUUCCAAUCACACCCAACUCUCAGAGAACAAAGCUCCAGAGUGUGGCCACUCGAUGUGUAUUCAUUGGUUAUUCAAAUACGCACAGAGGGUACAAGUGCAAAGACCUAUCUACUGGGAAAAUAACAGUGUCACGGCAUGUUCUCUUUGAUGAAUGCACGUUUCCGUUCCAGCAGCAAACCCAAACCCAAGUACAGCCAGAGUCACACUUCAGACAACUGCCAUCUGCACUAAUUUCACCUCCUACAAGGCUACACACGAUUCGGGAAGCUGAUCAGAUACGAUCAGAAGAUCAUCCAGGAUCCUUAUCGACACAGACGACACAGACUGAUCGUCCAUCAGAAGAAACAGAGGACGAUCGAUCAGCUAUCUACCUCAAUCCGUGUACCGAAACAACGGCGUAUCCCGACACAACUAUCAUAAAGGAUACGCCGAAUAUCAAUCAAGACUGCAACACGAGAAAAUCUGAAAGAGUAAAGACACCACCCUCCUGGCUAAAGGACUAUGAGACAGAGGAUCAUGAACGAACAGGGCGCCAAAAUUCGUCGGCCACAAUCACCAGUUUAAAAGAAACCGGGUCCCCCAAUUCAACAAGGAAUGAAUCCGCUCAAUCAAAACCCGCCCGACUACACUCAUCCGAAUUACCCAAAUCAGUCGGACACUCCCAAACACAAUCCCAAAAUUUAAACAAGAUCCGACUCAUCAAAUUCAAUCGGUCGGACACUCACCCGAUAUCAGACGAACAACUGAGCACCAUCGUCUCCGACCCACCCCGCCGGACUGCGACCAAAAACUGCAACCUGGCCAUUAGUGAACAGUCCGAGCCGACGUCCGUCAGAGAAGCAUUCAAAUCUCCCCUCUGGAUGGAUGCAAUGACAGAUGAAAUCCAAGCACUUAACAUCAACAAUACCUGGAAGCUAGUUCCCAGACAAUCGGGAAUGAAUGUAGUUGGCUCCCGAUGGGUCUUCCAGGUUAAACAAAACUCUGACGGAUCCCUCAAUAGGUACAAAACUCGGCUUGUAGCGAAGGGUUUUCACCAGAAAUACGGGGAGGAUUAUGAUCUCACGUACAGCCCGGUGGUGAAGGCUGCCACUAUACGAACGAUACUGGCAAUUUCGACAUCCCAACGGUGGAAACUUCAUCACCUUGAUGUCUGUAAUGCGUUUCUUAACGGUCAUCUAACCGAAACAGUCUUCAUGGAACAACCUCCAGGGUUCACAAUGAAGAAAACAACGGCCAAAUCUCACGUCUGCAAACUACAAAAAGCGAUCUAUGGCCUGAAACAGGCACCGAGAGCCUGGUAUCAACGACUAAAAGAGUUUCUUCACAGUUGUCAAUUCCUCAAUUCCACAUCUGAUUCAUCACUAUUCAUCAGAAGAAACAACGGAAGGGUCAUCUACGUUCUAAUCUACGUAGAUGACUUCGUAAUCACGGGCGACUGCGAUACAGAGGUUAAAGCUUUCAUCGACUCGGUCUGCAGACAAUUCAAAUGCAGGGAUCUCGGACAACUAUCCUUCUUCCUAGGCAUUGAAAUGGAAUCGACUGCAACGUCCACGAAGAUCACACAGAGAAAGUACUCCCUGGAUCUGCUUGCGAAAUUCAAGAUGAACAAUUCCAAACCAAUCUCGACGCCAUCGACACCAGGAUCCAAACUAACAGCCAACUCAGGGACACCAAUCGAGGAUCCGACUCCAUAUCGGAGCCUGGUUGGAGCUUUGCAAUAUCUCAGUCUCACUCGCCCAGACAUCGCAUUCUCAGUUAAUCAAGUAUGCAAAUUUAUGCAAUUACCAACAACAACCCAUUGGCAGGCAGCCAAACGCAUCCUUCGAUACAUCAAAGGCACCAUUGGUUUUGGGCUCACCUACACACCUUCAACCUCCACAGACCUAAACAUCAUGGUCGACUCGGACUGGGCGGGUGACCCAGAUGACAGACGCUCAACGACCGGAUCUUGUGUCUUCCUCGGCCCAAACCCGGUGGCCUGGAUGUCCAAAAAGCAGCCGACGGUAUCACGAUCCAGCGCCGAGGCUGAAUACAGAGCCAUCGCACAUGUCACGGCCGAGCUCAAAUGGUUCUGCUCGCUCCUAAGGGAGCUGGGAGUGUAUCUGAGACAAGUUCCAGUUAUUCACACUGAUAGCAGAUCGGCAAUUUUUAUGGCAACCAACCCAGUGAUUCAGGCUAAAACGAGGCACAUUGAAAUCGACUACCACUUCAUCAGAGAGUUCAUCAUCCGCGGAGAUAUCAGCCUCAAAUUCGUUCGGUCGGAAAAUCAAAGUGCAGACAUCUUCACCAAAGCUCUACCGGCGUCACUCUUUCAUCGACACCGGCAACGUCUGCGACUCACCGGUGUCGAAGGGGGGUGUCAGGGGAAAUAAAGCAAUUAACCCCUUAAACCCUUAAGAAAGAUAAAACAAGUACACAAGAGAAAUAAAGCAAUUAACCCCAUAAGGGCUAAUAGACAAAUAACCCAAUAUGAGGGUAUAUAAUGUAACUCAGUUAUUAUAAUUUACAUCAUCAAGUUUAUCUCUAUUACAUCAUCUAUCUUCCUCCUGUACUACCUCUCUUCUCCGAUCAUCAAUCUGCUCCUCCGACUCCUCCGACCAUCUUCACUUUCUCAACAGAAAUCUUGGUUCGUUUCAUUCUAUAAUUUUAAUUAUUUCAGUAUAAUGAUAUGGUCAAUGGGUUUGAGUUCGCAUCCACCUCCAUGUGGACAGGGGCGUAUCUAGGGCCCUUGCCCUCCACCCUAAAUGUUGGAAAAAAUUGAAGAUCUAUAUGUAAUAAUUUUUUUAUAUAGGGUUAAAUGUAAUUUUUACAAUAUAUUAAUAUUUUUUUAAAGGUUAAUAUAUAAAUUUUACAAUAUUUUAUACCCUCACGUUUCACAAAUUUUCUCCCCCUCUUCUCCCCCAAAACCCUUAUCUUCUCCGACCUCCGGGAAUCUCUUCUUAGAUUCUUCACUGUGGUUGCUGCCUUGCUGGAAAUCUCUUCUCCAGUUAUCUCUCCGUUGCUACUUGCUGGAUUCUCUCAUUUCUCUGGUAUUUAUUUGUUGAUCUUGUUUGUUGUUUCUACAUAUUAUUUGGGUCUGAUGGAUAUGAUACGAUGGUGAUGGUCUGAUGGAUUUUAUUGAUGUUUGAUUUAUUUAGUUGAUUAGUCCUCAUAUGAAGUUAGGUUCUCCGGUCUGCAUAUGAAGUUAGAACUCACAUGUUAAUGUUCUGUUUUUGAAAAAGAAAAGCACAUUAAGAGAUUUUCUUUUCAUCUUCGCACAUAUAUUCAAGUUUGGGAAUGUUGAAAAUUGACGGCGGUAUUGUUCCUGAUAGAUAGUUGAAACUCAAAUCCCUAAAAAAAUUCCAAGGAUGUGAAUUUAAUGAUUUUAUAUUGAUGAAAUGUGUUGUUAAACAAAUGGAGAGUAUAAAAAAAAUAAAACUUACAGAUAUGCCAAAUUUUCAAAUUCCCCAAUGCUGGAUCCUGGAUGGAAUCGUACCAGCUAUUCUAGUGUUUCUUAAAAUCCUAUUAUCAUUCAAACACAGCUAAAAUAUAAGUAUUAUGUAAAUUAAAAAAAUAUAGAUAGAUAGAUCAUAUAUAGAUGAAUCUUUCUUAAUGGUUUGGACUUUAGGGUUAAUGUAUUGAAUAUUCCUAAAUCAAUUUGAAUAUUAAUUAAUGUAUUGGAUAUUAAUUAUGGAAUGAAUGUAUUGAAUUUUUAUAGGUUUUUAUAAUCUAUUUUAUGAAUAGGUCGUGCCAAAAUUUUUAUAGGUUUUUAAAUCAGUACAAAAAAAUUUCCCGCCUUCGGCGAUUCUUGCCCCCCCUGUCGGGGAAUCCUGGAUACGCCACUACAUGUGGAUCCGCCAAUGUUCUCAUUUCUUCACCACCUUAUUGAUUUUGUUUAUUAAUUUCAUAUUUCCCCUCCUUUCUAUCGAUCCUUCUGCAGACCUCUUUCAGAAUUUGUUCCUCUUGCAAAAUCCGUAACUAUUAACUACGAACUGUGAGAUCUGGGAUUUGACAUCCAAAAAUUCCCAUUUUAAUUUCUUAGCCUUUUUCCUAUCCAAAUUAUCUGUCAACUGUCAGAUGAUUUUAUGCAAACACUUUCUAAUAUUUGCUUGUCGACAUCCUAUUUUGGGUUUGUAGCUUGAAUAAAUUUUCAAUUUUUAUCGUAUAAUGUAUUACUCUCGGUAAUCAAGCUUAUCAACUUCAGCUCUGAUUUUUUGUUUCAUGUCUGCAGUUAUUUUAAGACCAAGUUACUGUCUUCAAUAACACGCUAAAAAAUCAUGGCCUCCCGUUUCUGGACUCAGGUAAUCACGGCUUGUGUUAUUUCCCCAAAGAAAAUACUAAAAUAGUGCUCCCUUCUUGGUACCCUUUAUUUUGAAGACUUAUUUAUUUCUCUUGUGAUGAAUUACCAGGGUGGUAGUGACACCGAUGAAGACGAAAGUGAGUAUGAAAUUGAUUCAGAGGAUGAGGUCGAGCCAAGUUCUGGUGCAAAACCAGCAAACCGUUAUCUGGAGGAAAAUGCUAGUGAUAGCGAUGACUCUGAUGGCCACAAACGUGUGGUGCGCUCUGCCAGAGACAAGCGCUUUGAUGAAAUGUCAGCUACUGUAGAUCAGAUACGGAAUGCCAUGAAGAUCAAUGAUUGGGUAAGCCUGCAAGAGAGCUUCGACAAAAUUAACAAACAGCUAGAGAAGGUCAUUCGGGUGAUGAAAACCGACACGGUCCCCAAUCUUUACCUCAAGGCUCUAAUCAUAUUAGAGGAUUUUCUUGCCGAGUCCCUGGCAAAUAAGGAUGCCAAGAAGAAGAUGAGCAGUAGCAAUGCCAAGGCAUUGAACUCAAUGAAGCAGAAACUAAAGAAGAAUAACAAGCAGUAUGAGGAGGCGAUUACAAACUACAGACAGAAACCCGAAACUGAGAGUGAAUCGGAGAGUGAUGCUAACGACUCUGAAUCAGUUUCAGAAUUUGAGGAAGAUCCAACAGCAGCUGCACCCUCCGAUGAGGACAACGUCGAUGACCAGGAUCAAAAUGAUAAGGGUUGGGAGCGACAGAUGAACAAAAAAGACAAACUUAUGGACAAGCAGUUCAUGAAGGACCCAAGUGAGAUCACAUGGGAAAUAGUUGACAAGAAGUUUAAAGAUAUUGUGGCUGCAAGAGGUAAAAAGGGAACCAGCAGAGCUGAGCAAGUUGAGCAGCUUACAUUUUUGACUCGAGUUGCAAAAACGCCUGCUCAGAAGCUUGAAAUCUUGUUCAGUGUGAUAUCUUCCCAGUUUGAUAUCAAUCUGAGUAUUAGUGGUCACAUGCCUAUAAAUAUUUGGAAAAAGUGCUUAGACAAUUUCCUAGGUGCGUUAGACAUCCUUGAGCAGAAUCCAAACAUAGUGGUUGAUCAAUCUGCCGAGCCUGAAGAUAAGGAAUCACAUAAAGAUUCAGAUUAUGAAGGAACCAUCCAUAUCUCAGGGAGCUUAGUAGCUUUGCUUGACCGGCUAGAUACUGAAUUUUACAAGAGCUUGCAAUGCAUUGAUCCCCAUACCAAGGAGUAUGUUGAUAGACUUAGAGAUGAGCCUAUGUUUUCUCUUCUUGCUCAAAAUGUUCAAAGAUAUUUGGAAAAAAUGGGUGAUUUUAAAGGAGCUUCCAAAGUGGCUUUGAGACAGGUUGAGCUUAUAUAUUAUAAGCCUCAGGAAGUUUACGACUCGAUGAGAAAACUAGCAGAACAUGAAGCUCUUGACAGAGAACUUGGUGGAGAUGAGAAUCAAAAUGCCGAAGAAAUCAAAGGACCUUCUGCAUUUAUUGUUAUCCCAAAAGUUGUUCCACGGAGUCCUACGUUCCCAGAAAGUAGCCGAGCAUUGAUGGAUAGAUUGGUUUCCCUUAUAUACAAGAGUGGUGAUGAAAGGACGAAGGCUCGAACAAUGCUCUGUGAUAUCUAUCACCAUGCCAUCUUUGAUGAAUUUUCCAUUGCUUGUGAUCUUUUACUAAUGAGUCAUCUCCAGGAAGGAGUCCAACAUAUGGACAUAUUGACACAAAUGCUGUUCAAUAGGGUGAUGGCUCAACUUGGUCUCUGUGCUUUUAGAGCUGGCCUUACUAAAGAAGCUCACGGAUGCCUUUCUGAACUCUAUUCAGGUGGAAGGGUAAGGGAGUUGCUUGCCCAAGGUAUCUCGCAAAAUCGAUAUUAUGAAAAGACUCUAGAGCAGGUAUCUUUGUAUUAGAUAUUUAAGUUUUUUAUUUAUAUAUUUUUUACUCACGAAUCAUAUCAUUUUGUUCUUUUCUAAAAUACAUUGCAAGAUUUCCUAUGCUUGUGACGAGCAGAUAGUCGCAUAUAUAUGUCAUAUUGUAACUGCGCAAAUUUCGGCUUGCAUAUUUGCAAGCAUGUGAUUGUAUGUUUGGUGGAAAUUUACGCAGAUCCAUGCUAGAAUUUUGACCCCAUCUCGAUGGAAGAUUUAAAUUUCAUUAGUUAGUAGAUGACCGUCAACCGACCGGUCGAAUAAUUAACAAGUAUCAAGUUCAUUUAUGAUAAAGUGUAGAGAAAGUGAUGGGAUUUGUGAGAAUCUAGGAUUGCAGCAACAUGCCAAUCCUCAACAUUUAGCUAUGGAAGAUGAAUAAACGAUAGUCAUGAUCUCAAGCUAUAAGAUGAUUGAACUCUUUAGAGCUUUUUUUUAAAUUCUUAUAAGUAAUAUCAUUAUGUUACGAAGUAUGAACACUCAACUUUCUUUUAGUUUGUGUUUUGAACCUUAUUGCUUGAGAUACAUAAAUAUCUUUCUAAGUAUUUAAACCUUAUUUUUAAGAUACUAAGCAUUUUCUAAAUAUGAUAUAGGCUUAUAAGCUUAUUUAUCCCUAUUUUUUUUGCAUUAUAUUACCCACUGAAAAUCCAUUCUUCAUUAUUUCUCUCAUAGUCUAAUAUUCACUUUAUUGUAAUUAUUUUCAUUUACUAUUUAUCAAUUGACUGUCUAUGCUAAUUGACUAUGGCUGUUCUUUGUCUAUUUAUUUGGAUGCCUUUUAUUAUAAAAAAAUACAGUGUGAUAAUUAGAUUUUUAUAUGUGAUUGCUGCUGUUAUUGUAAAUAUAAUUGCUUUGUUUUCUUGUGCAAUCAUGAUGCAUUGAUUUGCAUAUUGAAUGUUUUCAUAGUUCAUCUUUUUAUGUUGUAAGAUAUGGAUUUAUUUGGGUUUGUUUUGUUUUUUGCAGGAAAAAAUUGAGAGGAUGAGACAAAUGCCCUACCAUAUGCACAUAAAUCUUGAGCUUCUAGAAGCAGUCCAUUUAAUUUGUGCUAUGCUCCUUGAGGUUCCCAACAUGGCUCUAAACUCAAAUGAUGUUAGACAGAAAGUGAUGAAUAAGAAUUUCCGUAGACUCCUUGAUAUUAGUGAACGACAGACUUUUGGAGGACCUCCUGAAAAUGUUAGAGACCAUAUAAUGGCUGCGGCAAAAGGUCUUAGAAAGGGAGAUUUUGAGAAGGCCUUUGAUUUCAUCAGCUUCCUUGAUACAUGGAAGCUUUUGAAGAACAAAGAAAGUGUUCUGGCAAUGUUGAAAUCCAAGAUCAAAGAAGAAGCUUUAAGGACAUAUUUAAUUUCCAAUGCGUGUAGCUACGUGUCGUUGAGUUUGGAUCAUCUCAUUCUUAUGUUUGGCCUUUCUAACACACAAGUUCACAGCAUUGUGAGUAAGAUGAUGAUCACAGAGGAAUUGCAAGCAAGCUGGGACCAACCUGCAAAGUGUAUAAUAUUCCAUAGUAUGGAGCAAACAAGAGUGCAGACCCUCUCUUUCCAGCUUUCGGACAAACUCAAUGUUCUUGCUGAUAGCAAUGAAAGAGCAUAUGAGGUCCGAACAGGUGGUAGUUUGGAUGGGCUUCCUUCAAGACGGCGGACAGAUGGUCAGGAUUAUUCUGGAAAAUGGCAAGAUAAUAUCUUCACAUCACAAGGAAGGCAAGGUGGCGGUGGAGGACGUACAGGUUAUACUGGAAGAUUUGGGGGCUCUACACAAUCUUCGGUGGGAGUAUUCUCAAGGGACAAGGGAGUUGGAGGAGGGUAUGGAAUUCGGGGCACCGGUGGUGGUGCUCGGAAUCAAGAUGGAAGACAUUCAUAUCAAACAGGAUUGUCUAUGAAAGGAAGGCAGGCAGAUGCUUCAAGUCGUAUGGUUAGUCUUAGCAGGGGUGACAGAUUUUAAUGAAUGACUGUCUGACUUGGUAUUUUUUGCUUAUUGGCAAUUUUCUUAUAGCAUCGAUGAGGAUUAAAUCAUGAUCUUGAUAUAUUUUGUUUCUUCAAAUUAAACCAGUUUUAAGUUAUUGAUAAGUCAUGAUGAUGUUCUUGAUAUUAGAUUUAAUAAUUAUAAACUUUUAAUACUAUUCUGUUUUAUGUUGAAGUUCAAUUAUUCAUGCUUGUGUGAUUGUGUUUACAUUUUGCAUUAGCUUUUAAAUCUCAGUUUAGUUAUUUUUUUAGCGAGCUCUAUUGAAGUUCUUUUAUAUUGCAGUAACAUAUGGUAGCAGCUCUUCGUCGCCAUAUCAAUCCUGCAAUCAUUUAUCUGNNNNNNNNNNNNNNNNNNNNNNNNNNNNNNNNNNNNNNNNNNNNNNNNNNNNNNNNNNNNNNNNNNNNNNNNNNNNNNNNNNNNNNNNNNNNNNNNNNNNGUUUCUUCAAAUCAAACCAGUUUUAAGUUCUCGAUCAUAAUGCUGUUCUUGAUAAAAGAUUCUAUAAUUAUAAAGAUUUUUAUACAAUUCUAUUUUAUUUUGAAGUCGAAUAAUUUAUGUUUGUGUUUAAAAGAUUGUUGUUUUGAUUCUCUUCAAUUUUUGUUGUUUGGAUGGUGGAUGGGUUAUCAAUACGUUCUUCAUCUUCCACAAAUAUUGAUUUGUUUUGGUUUAAUUCUUAUUCAGGACAUAACAAGUUAUCAUCCUCAAAUACAAAUACUGAUGAGUUGAAUUUAUUUAUUUAUUUUAUAUAUGAACCAGUCUUCAUAUUCUACAAGUCCCUGCACACCAGAAUUAAACACACCAAACUACUCUUGAGUCUUGACCAAAGACAAGAGAUGUUAUUUACUGAUUUUAUUUAAGUACAACAUCAUGAUACUAAUCAACUACUAACAGUUGACAAAUGAGUAGCUAACUGUCAUAUGCCCCAUUUGAUAGCCAUUGCCAUCAGUAUCAAUUGCUUUAAAUGCAUUCCAAUCAAGAUCGAGGCCGCCGUUGGCGCAUUGGUCCACUAUCCUCACGGUGAUCGAAUUCCCUGUCCUAGUGUUGGUCACCUGCAGGGAUUUGAUGAGAAAUUGAAAAGAGGGUGGGAGAUAAAGAAGCAUGUAUAGAGCUAAAAAAAUCGACAUACUCUCAGACAUCGACCGCAAGAGGCUUGGCCACGCGGUCCAACAGGACCACAGAAUGCGGUCCAAUCAUAUUGUUUACGCCAUGAAAGAGGUUUAUCAGCAUCCCAUGUAGAACAAUAUGCACUGACUGCCCUCAGGUUCCAGUUGUUCUGUUGGGGAUAGUAGUAGUGGUAUGUUGCCCGGAUGUUUGAAGCAGACUGUGCAGUUGUUAAAACUGCCAUGCAACUGAUAGCUAAAAAAACUGCAACCACGGCAGCAGACCAAGUAACCUUCUUCUCCAUCAUCAUCCUCUGAUCGAUCUUCGAUCCUUGUAAUUAAUAUGAAUUGAGUGCCUCCCCUCCCACUGAUGACUGAUGUGGAAUUUAUAGGGUAGAAAAGUAGAAUUAGUCAUAUUAUUGGAAUGGAAAUUCUAAGCAUACUGCUGUUCCAAAUCGGAAACUCCAGUGAAUCAUAUUGAUGUUUUGUGAGAAGAAAAUUUGCAUUCUAAUGUUGUCAUGUUUCUAUUUGCCAUCUAAAUUUCUUUGGAUCUUUCAUUAUAAUAUUAAGGGCGGCUAUUAAUUGUUGUGGAAUUCUGGCAGGAGGGCCAUUAUCGAACAGUGAAGAUUGUAGAAAGAAUCUUGUGUUUUUGUAUUGCACGCUUCAACAUUUCCAUCUGACUUCACCAAUCCUCCCAAUCUGAUUUAAAAUUUCAGCAAGUCACUGUCAUAAAAAUUUAUCUAUGUAAAUUACCGAAUUACAUACAUCAUUUAUACUGCGUUGGCAUUUGAAUAUUUGAUCCACACACAAUAAUAAGUCUUACUGGACCAGAACCAAAUUGUUUGCAACUCUAGUAAUAAUUAUAUUGACCCAUAAAAAUUAUUUUACGGGCUUUAGAGUUGGGCUGAGUCGAGCCUGGGGUGACCUGAGUCCGGUUUGUUUAUUAAAUAAGCAUCCAUUUUUUAGAGCUUGUUUAGAGCUUCAAUGUCCUCCCAGGAUGUGCCUUCCUGACGCUCUGCUCUACUGGACUUAAGGUUGUUGGAUUUUGCGCCCCAUUCGAUAAAUGACCCUAUAAUCAACAAUUGCUAAAGGAAAUAUUAUGGGUUCAUUUCUUACAACAAGAAUUGAAAUCGUCUCUACUUCUCUCAUGGUGGUCCGGUGAAUUUCUUGAGCCUUGAAACAUGAAAUAUUUAUUUGACCGACAUUAGGAAGCUAUCAUACCAUGUAAAGAUUAGAAGAUAGAAGAAGAGUAGGACGAAUUGAAGAAGAUUAUAGAACACAUUUAUAUAGAUAGAAUACGCGAUCUGAACUAGAAGAAAAGGUAACUGUCAGUGCCAUGAUUUUGACAAUCUAUUCUAUUCACUAUAACAACGAUCACUGACUUGUUUUGAACCUUGGAAAGAUUUGUGAUAAAAUCAACAUAAAUGAAUAUUGAUGAUACCCCUGGUCCAUCAGACCAGGCUCAUCCCCGACCAGGCUUACUUGACCAGUGAAAGAAGGCCCGGUCCAGUAGGAAAGUGUAUAAAUACCCCUAGGGGUUGGUUGGAUGUAGAAGGGGAGAGAAACAUUGAGAGUACACUUGUAAUAGAGAUUGUUUGGUAUAUACUCUGUACCACACCAUCAAAUAUAAAUUCAGAUAUCCUUAACCAUGCCUUUCUACUAAAAUUGAGUAGUGAUUCUUCUGAUGAUUCUUUUCAAUCAAUUCAGAUGAGUUUCUUUUUAAGUGAUCUUUGCUAGUGAAAUUCAGAACCUUGUUAGAGCUUUCAUUCAACUUCUUUGCUUCUUCUGAUUUCUAAUUCUCUUUAUUUCUUCAAUUAAGGAUCCUUUGAUAUUAUCAGUCUUAUUUAUGAACAAAACCUCCUCCUCUUCCUCCUCGUGACACCUGAAGGUAAUGAGAUGCUCCUCUUACAAUAAAUUACCUGGAGUCUUAAGUUACACACAUUAGUUUCCACUGUAAAAAACUUAGUGAAAUCAGGGAAUUUUAAAAUUGGGGCUUCAAUCAUGGCUAAUUCAGACCCCAAAAAAUGAAUUUUUCUUUAGGAGAUCAGUCAUAGGAGAAUCAAUUUCAACAAAUCCUCUUGUGAAUCUUCUGUAAUACCUUGUGAGGCGGCCUAGAAAUUCUCUUAAUAAUUUCAGAGAUUUAACGAAAGACCAAUCCACCAUAGUUCUAAUAUUUUGUUGGAUCAGGGUUUACUCCUUUCUUACUGGUAAUUAUAUGCCCUAAAAAUUACAUAGAUUCUUUGCCAAAAGAACAUUUGGAUUUCUUUGUCAAUAGAUGAUUCAUUUUUAACACUUCAAAAUUUUUUGUAGAUGCUUGAUGUGAUCAUUAAGUGAGGUACAAUAAAUCAAAAAUAUAUAUAUCAUCAAAGAAGACUAUCAUAACUUUUCUCAAAUAUUUAUGGAAAACUCUGUUUAUUACCGUCUGAAAAUAUGUCGGUGCAUUGGAUAGCCUAAACUCUAAUCCUAACCCAAAGGUUCACUAUUAUUUAUCCAAGAGAUCCCUUUCCAUACUCUUUGCCCUUCCACUCAAAUUUCAUACACAACUCCUUAUAAUUAGAUAUCACAUCGAAUUUGUUUAUAGUGAGCCGAACCUUUAUGCGUCAUCUUGCAUUGAAAUCACUCUCGAUCAACCUGCAAUUGUCAUCCUAUGAACAGUAUUAUGUCACUCACGCAAACUUAUAUUUGAACUUGUUAGAAUUAUAUAAUUAUGAUGUAUAUUAUCCAAGUAAUGAAAUGUAAUGCAAUAGUUUAUAUAUGAUAAUAUUUGAACUUGCUGAAAAGUAAAUGACAAUACAGAUUCGAGAAGAUUGAGAUGAUUGCAGGAUGUAGAUGUUGGAGAUGAUGAAGACGAUGAACAGAUCGGAUGGAUGAUCACCAGAUGAACAGAUGACUUGAUCAGAUGAUUCAGAGAGAGCAAGACAGAUUAUUGAAGAAGACAAAUUGCUGAAGCCAAAUUCCAGAAGAUUGAUUUGGAUUGCGAGACAUAUUCAAAGAGAAUUACUUGAUGGCAAAACCUUAAUGUUUGUCUUGGGUUAAUUCUGAUUUAUAGGAGGUUUGCUCCAACGACUAAAUUAGUUUAACUGGUGGUUGGUGUAAUCAAUGUUGGAUUUAAGGUAAUUGAUGGAUUAGGAAAAGAUAUUGGACUUGGUUAAAGUUCCUAGUUAGUAUAGGGUUUAAAUGUAAUUUUCCUAAUAUAAUUCUAAUAGAACUACGUCCAUUCAGAGUUCAGACCAAUCCUGACCCGACUCGGCCUGGUCCGAGGGAUAGAAGAAAAUCCAUAAAUAUCAAUCUUUUAAAAGGAGAAGAUGAAGCACUGAAUCGAUCUGCUACCAAGGCUCGCGGUGGUGCGAGGUGAUGCCGGAGACUCUGGAGUCCACGACGCGCGCUCUACGUCAAAUACCUGCAAGUAGAAACUAGGUGAUUCUAGUGAGAAUCGGAGAGUUUCUUAGUGAUGCUCUGGUGAGAGUGGAGCUUGUGUUGUGCCUUUGAGUGUCCCCUUGGGACCCUUUUUAUAGGGUCUCGGAGGGCGUGAUCAAAGGCGGACAUCGCGCCUAUGGUCAUAUAUGGAAACAUUUAUGACGUUGGCUGGCGGCGAGUAACGGUCGUAAGUCGGCGAUUCAGGUAUGAAAAUCGCCUAUUUAGGGCAAACUCGCCGAGUUUCCAGGGGCGAGAUGUGUAGUCUACCAUACUGCCGAUCUGGGCCCUAACUCGGCGAUUUGUCCCUAAAGUCGGCGACUUGGUAGUCCAAUCGUGACUUACGGGCUAACUCGGCGAUUUGGACGAUGAAUUUGUUCCGCACCGUGGGAGCUCUCCGGAGGUCCGGCGUAAAGCGACGGAACCCUAGUCCUUGUUGAAAAGCGUUGCUGGGAGUGACUGCCGUAAUUAGGCAUGUCUCACCAGUACUCCCCCCUGAAGAGAGCACAAGAAACAUGCUUGUAUAGCCAGUACCCCCCCCUCCAACCAAAGUUCAAUGUGUGAUCCGCAUCAAGGCCGAAGCGACAAGAUGAAAUCGAAUCAUUCCGCUCACAGUGACGUACUGAUUCUGUAUCCAUUAUGGCCUAAGCGACAAUAAUGGAUUGACUCUGUAGGGUCGAACCGACAGAAUCGAGUUCCAGGCCAACGGAACUACCUGUUUAUAGUCUAACCCUGAUCAAGAGCGACUGCACUGUGUUUAUCAAGGUCGGAGCGACAAGAUUAAUUCCGGCCGAAGCGACGGAACCUGAUUCAGGCCGAAGCGACAUAAUCGAGUUCUAGCCAAAGCGAUAGAACCGAGUUCUAGCCAAAGCGAUAGAACUAAUGUUUAUAGUCCACCCUGAUCAAGAGCGACUUUUAUGUCCGCAACGACGGUUACCCCCUCAUGGUCUAAAGCGGCAAGACGGGUUGAGACCAUUAAGACCAAAGCGACAGAAUGAUCUCUAGUCUAUCAAGGCAAAAGCGGCAGGAUAAAUUGACUCACUAUCAGAGUUUGAUUCUGGCCGAAGCGACAGAAUAAUACUUGCAAAAAAGAAAACAUCCUGCAAAACAACUAUAUCAGUCUAAGACGCAUAUUAUUAUUGACCAAUUGAACUUAUCGUGCGAUUUUACCUCUCGUGAUAUUCUUCUUUUGCUCGAACCAAUCCUAAUUGGUAAAUCUGGCCGAAGCGAUAAAUUUUACCGUGCUUAUUUUGACGACUCAAUUCUGUCCGGAGCGACAGAAGUGUCGGGAAAGCUUGUAAUACUCCCCCCUGAAAUUUGACGAUUUCCCGCCGAAGCGACAGAAAUGUCGGGAGAGCUUGUGAUACUCCCCCUCGAAGUCUGACGAUUUCCGGCCGGAGCGAUAGAAAUGUCGGGAGAGCUUGUGAUACCCCCCUCGAAAUUCGACGAUUUCCGGUCGGAGCGACAGAAAUGUCGGGAGAGCUUGUGAUACCCCCCCUCGAAAUUCGACGAUUUCCGGCCGGAGCGACAGAAAUGUCGGGAGAGCUUGUGAUGCUCCCUCUCGAGAUUCGACGAUUUCCCGCCGGAGCGACAGAAAUGUCGGGAGAGCUUAUGAUGCUCCCCCUCGAGAUUCGACGAUUUCCCGCCGAAGCGACAGAAAUGUCGGGAGAGCUUAUGAUACUCCCCCUUUAACACCUGCAUAAAAAUGUGUCGUAUUCUGGCUGAGGUGGUAGGAGUGUCGGAGAGAGUUUGUAAUACUCCCCUCGAAUUGUGACAACUUCUGGCCGAAGCGACAGAAGUGUCGUGGAGAGUUUGUGAUACUCCCUUUGGAAUGAGACGACUUCUAGCCAAGACGACAGAAGUGUUGAUGAGAGUUUAUGAUACUCUCCUCCAAAGAUGGGCGAGACGACUUCCGGCUAGAGUGACAGAAGCGUCGGAGAGAGUUUGUGAUACUCCCCCUGAAAUCGUGCCGUUGUGACAGAUUGUAGAGUUAUGUUUUGGAUGUUUCUGCCCGAGGUGAUAGAAGUAUUGAGGAGAGCUUGUGAUACUCCCUUCGAAAGUCAACCCGACAACUUUUAAAAUAUUGGUGUAACGAAAGUAUUGGAGAGAGCUUGUGAUACUCCCCUCGAGAAUCAUGUCGUCGCGACAUAUGAAAUGAUUUUUCGGAAUAUUUUGCAAUCUUUCUAUUUUGAUUAUCAAUGAACUAUCUUUUGUCUUUUCUUUGCUAAUCUUCCAUAUAAAUCAUCUUUAAAUUGUAACCUAGGCUUGAAACUAGAUUCACAAGCCGUAACUUAGCCACUCUGGACGUAAGUUAGACUCUGCUAACCCUCGCUUAGCCACUCUGGACGUAAGCUUGGUCGUACGAAUCGUAGUUCAGUCGUCAGUUAAAUUUACGGAUAAUUUAUAUCUUCAAAUUAAUGUAGAGUUACAAAGAAUAGUACAAAUAAACCAAAAAUUAAGAUGCACAAUAUUAUUUAGAAUCCUGGGGUUAGAUCCGCAAUUUAGGACUACAAUUCUAGAUUUGAACCCUGGUGUUUUAGCCAAGCUCCGGCCAUAGCGGUAGAGCGAAUCUCGAUCCUCAUCAAGGCAUUAGCGACAAGAUGGGAUAGGAUCAUUUAGGCCAAAGCGACAAAAUGACCCUUGCUCUAUUAAAACCAUAGCGACAGAAUAGAUUUAAAACCGGGGUAUCAUUGAUUGUAGUCGUAAAUUUAGAAUCUCAGGGUUAGAUUCGUAAAUCGGAGUCGUAAUUUAGAUUCUUAAGUCGCACCUUGGACUUGUAAAUCGUAAACUUGACUUGUAAUCGUAAUUUAGACUUUUUGUCGUAAAUUAGAUUUUGUAAUCAUCACUUAGACUCGUGGGUCGUAAGCUAGAUCUGAGUAACGGGUGUCAUCCAGCUAAAGCGAUGGAUUGAUCUCUAUGAAAUUAUCCUUUGUUGGUUUGCCGUAUUAAUCCUAGAACCGUAACGUAGGCUCGAAACUGGACUCGUAAAUCGUAAUUUAGACACUCUGGCCGUAAACUAGAUUUUGUAACCCCCACUUAGCCACUCUGGACGUAAGUUUGGUUUUGUAUCCCCCACUUAGGCACUCUGGCCGUAAGCUUGGUUGUAAUUAAGAGUCGUAAUUCAGACAAUUCCCAAACCGACUCAGAAUUACAAAAAAUCAUAGGUGUAUUUACUUUUCAUCGUAAUUUAGACUUGUACGUCGUAAAUUAGAUUUUGAAAGAGAACUUAGAUUCGUAAAUAUUUGAAAUCUUAGGGUUUGAUUCGUAAAUAUUCGUGAGUCGUAAUUUAGAUUCUUAAGUCGCAUGUUGACUCGUAAAUCGCAAACUAGACUUGUAAUCGUAAUUUAAACUCUUUGUCGUAAAUUAGAUUUCGUAACUAUCAUUUUGACUCUUGGGUAAAAUAGAUGAUAGAUAAGGUCGAAGCGAUGGAUGUCACCCAGCCGAAGCGAUGAGUGAUUGAUCCGUCUGAAGUGAUGGAUGAUUAUUCUAAAUGUGGCAUACAUAUCGCAUAAUACCUCCACGGGUUAAAGGAGACAUCUACUUAGAAUAAUAUCGUUAUUACAUGGUUGAGAACAAUAGAAGUGACAACCAAAAGAAUAUAUGAGUUCCUUUGAUGUUUGGUUGCCACUGUCGGAUGCAUAGCCUAUCUGGUUACUUUGGCCAAUCCUAUCUUUCUUCUGACAGAUGAUAGUUCCCCACUAUUAGCGUGACACACUCGAUUGUGAGUGUGAGCUGUGUCUUUGGUUGUCAUCACUGUUAUAGGAUUGAGAACGUAGGCUAUGACUUUGGUGGCCACAACUGUUACCAGAAUGAGAGUGUGAGUUAUGACUUUGGUAGCCAUAACUGCUACUGGAUUUAGGGUGUGAGCUAUGACUUUGGUAGCCAUAACUGCUACCCGGAGACUUCUCGCUGUAUCGAAGAAGAUUAGUCGAGGUUUCGGAUUGAGAACUUGUAUCCUCGUAUGUAUCUUCUUUAGCAUAGCGAGGUUUCUUCCGGCUGGACGGCUCGAGUUCGUCUAGCUUGUCAUUGUCCUCCUCUUCUAUCUCAAUAUACGAUUGAGCUCGUUGGAAGAGGUUGGGCAGGGUCUCCACUUUAUGGAGCAUUAGAUUCUGAGCCAAAGGGGAGAAGGGUACCAACCCUCUCACGUAUCCUGCUAUGGCCAGACUUGGGAUUAGGUCGUUCACUUCUGUCAUCAUCGAAGUGAACUUAAUCGUGUAAUCCUUCAGAGACAAUUUGUUCUGUCGUAGUGCCAGUAGUGUGUUGGCACUGUGUUUUAUUCUGAUCAUCCCCACAUGUUGGGCGAUGAACUUGGAAGAGAGGUUCGCGAAGCUGGAGACUGAGCCAGCCGGCAGACCGGAAAACCAUUGAUAUGCGUUGCCUUUCAGAGUGCCAGGGAAGGCCAGACACAACAACCCAUUAUCGGUAGUUUGCGGCUCCAAGAUAUUCAGGUAGAGGUUAACAUGAUCCUCUGGAUCUGUCGUUCCAUCGUACAAGUCUAUCUUCGGACACCGCCAAGAUUGCGGAAAAGGUUUUCUCAGGAGGUCCCUAUGAAAGGGUGCCCUUCCUAUUCUGAGAAAAUCAUGUGGGUCCCUUAUAUCAUGCUUGUCUUUACGAAGCACUUCCUUGAUUACCCUAUUCAUGAGUGUGGCAUCGUAAUCCGUACUAGUCGUGGAACUCGAAGGUAUACCCGAGUGAUAUAUUGCGGACCUGUGGUGAGAACUGAGAUGUUGUGUCUCUUUGUUUCACCGUGGUUGUCUCCCGUAGGAGAGUGAUGCGAGUUGGAUUUGGGUUGCCCUGAGAUUGCAGGACUCUUUCCCUUGAGCUCUCAAAGCUCCUUGGAUAUCCUUGAUUCGGACCAAUGAUGUGUACUUAAGUUUGUCUUCCUCAAAUGUGGGUUAGACUUGCUUGUCGUACAUCGUAUGGUGGUCCGGCUCAUUGAAGCCUCUAGGUUGGUUAUCCUUUUGUCCAACUUCAACAUGAGAGCAUGCAUGUGCGCAAGCCUCUCCUGUGUUGUCGGAGUUGGGUUCACACCCCCAUUUAGUGGGAGUGGUGAGGACACCUCAUGUGUAGGUGAUGGUGCAUUAGAGGUUGGUACAGUACGAGGACCAACCCUUCUGCUAGAAGCUCUUACCGCAGUAGCAGUGGCAAGAGCUUUCUUCUGACCCUUAGCAACAGGAUCCAUAAAUAGCAGGGAUAGUUGCUUCUACCGGGCUGAAGCAACGGGCAACGAGUAAAAGUUUUUCCGAAGUGUCGGAAGCUAUGGGUAGGUACCUGCCCCCCCCAGGUAUCACAAAACAGAAAAUUUUUGUAUGAUAUUUCUUUGCAGUUUUGUGACCCCCUUGAGGAGUACUACUAGUUCCCAAAGUUUGAAAUUAGCAAAAAAUGUCGCAAAUUUUUUGCAAUUUUUCGGCAGAAAAUCGUGCCGCCGGAGGUGAUUUCUGGGAUGCCUGUUUAGACCUAUCCCAGAAAAGAUUUCUGCCACUCUUUGGAAAUCGUAGAGAAAACUUUUUUCACGUAAUAUGUGGUCUCAGAACCUCAAAAUCGGAUCUGGGAAUUCCGGAGGUGGACCGACGAAAUCACUGGAAGUGAAAAAAGGCGAAAAACCCAAUAUUUUUUUUUUACCGAAACGACGAGGCGAAUCCAACCGUGACAAUGGAUUUUCGUUUCGGUCAAAAAGCUGGGCUAUGAGUGGUCUUAUUCAGCCAAAGCGAUGAAUGAAGACGAUGAUCGAAUGGACGAGUUUGCCCGUAAAUAGGCGAGUUUGCCCUUAAAUAGGUGAGUUUGCCCCCAAAUAGGCGAUUUUUGCUUGGGAAAAAUCCAACCUAUGCGAAGACGUAAGUUCCGAAGCAAAGGAUGACUUGACCGAGCUUGUUCAAAAAACAAAGAAAUUAAGAAUCGGCGAUUUAGGGAUCUAAAUCGGCGACUUUGACUUUGGGAGUUUUUGAACAGAGUCGUGGACAGUACUCUUAGCUUAGCAGACGAUAUUCCGGAUCGGGCGAUUCUCAAGGCUAAGUCGGCUAUUUAAGAAUAAAUCGGACCUGAGCCGAGAAUCGGCUAUCGAUCUAAAUCGGCGACUUAGUUGACAAAGUCGACGAACCCUCCGAGAGAGCUCGAGCCGGACUUUGCAAAAAAAAUCGUGAUUACGACGGGAUACCAGUGGUUCGGUAGUCCCACAGACGGCGCCAGCUGAUGAAGCACUGAAUCUGCUACCAGGGCUCGCGCUGGUGCGAGGUGAUGUCGGAGGCUCUGGAGUCCACGACGUGUGCUCUACGUCAAAUACCUGCAAGUAGAAACUAGGCGAUUCUAGUGAGAAUCGACGAGUUUCUUAGUAAUGCUCUGGUGAGAGUGGAACUUGUGUUGUGCCUUUGAGUGUCCCCUUGGGACCCUUUUUAUAGGGUCUCGGAGGGCGUGAUCAAAGGCGGACAUCGCGCCUAUGGUCAUAUAUGGAAACAUUUAUGACGUUGGCUGGCGGCGAGUAACGGUCGUAAGUCGGCGAUUCAGGUAUGAAAAUCGCCUAUUUAGGGCAAACUCGCCGAGUUUCCAGGGGCGAGAUGUGCAGUCUACCAUACUGCCGAUCUGGGCCCUAACUCGGCGAUUUGUCCCUAAAGUCGGCGACUUGGUAGUCCAAUCGUGACUUACGAGCUAACUCGGCGAUUUGGACGAUGAACUUGUUCCGCACCGUGGGAGCUCUCUGGGGGUCCGGCGUAAAGCGACGGAACCCUAGUCCUUGUUGGGAGUGACUGCCGUAAUCAGGCAUGUCUCACCAGGAGAGAAGACGUUACACUUGACACUUGUAUUACAUUAGAGAGAGAAAGAUGUUAAACCUUAAUCCAAUCUUGUAAAUUCAUCUUCGGCCUAUACACUACCAGUAAACUUUAUCACAUAGGAGUUUAUUUGGAUACUCCAAAUGGGUGUAUUUUAAGGGUUAUCCCUAGGGCUGUAAAUGGGUCGGGUCUGAGACUGAUUUACAACCCAUUUACAGCCCUAGGUAUCCCUAAAAUAAAAUAAAUCUAAAAUUUUAUCUUGUCGAUAACCCUAGUAUUCCAAAAUUUCAGCUGUUCUUAGUUUAUCCCGCUGUUCAAUUAAUCCUCUAUCGCGAGUGAGUGAUUCAUCUUCAUAUUGAAAGGAUGGUAUAUUGUUUUGACUUUUUUACAUCACAAUGUAUUGAUUUAUUUCUACGGUCGAUUAAUUUUAGAAAUCUGGUUUGUUUCAUUCUAUAAUUUUAAUCAUUUCAGUAUAAUGAUAUGGUCAAUGGGUUUGAGUUCGCACCCACCUCCAUGUGGACAGGGGCUUAUCCGGGGGGCAACCCUAAAAGUUGGAAAAAAUUGAGGAUUUAUAUGUAAUAAUUUUUUUAUAUAGGAUUAAAUAUAAUUUUUACAAUAUAUUAAUAUUUUUCAAGGAUUAAUAUAUAAAUUUCACAAUACUCUCUCCCCUUUCUCCUCUCACGUUUCACAAAUCCUAAUCUUCUCCGGGAAUCUCUCCCCCUACUCUUCUCCCCCAAAACUCUAAUCUUCUCCGGCCUCCGGGAAUCUCUUCUUAGAUUCUUCACUGUUGUUUCUGCCUUGCUGGAAAUCUCUUCUCCAGUUAUCUCUCCGUUGCUACUUGCUGGAAUCUCUCAUUUCUCUGGUAUUUAUUUUUUGAUCUUGUUUGUUGUUUCUACGUAUUAUUUGGGUCUGAUGGAUAUGAUACGAUGGUGAUGGUCUGAUGGAUUUUAUUGAUGUUUGAUUUAGUUAGUUGAUUAGUCGUCAUACGAAGUUAGGUUCUCCGGUCUGCAUAUGAAGUUAGAACUCACAUGUUAAUGUUCUGUUUUUGAAAAAGAAAAGCACAUUAAGAGUUUUCUUUUCAUCUUCGCACAUAUAUUCAAGUUUGGGAAUGUUGAAAAUUGACAGCGGUAUUGUUCCUGAUAGAUUGUUGAAACUCAAAUUCCUAAAAAAUUCCAAGGAUGUGAAUUUAAUGAUUUUAUAUUGAUGAAUUGUGCUGUUAAACAAAUGGAGAGUAUAAAAAAAAUAAAACUUAAAGAUAUGCCAAAUUUUCAAAUUCCCCAAUGCUGGAUCCUGGAUGGAAUCGGACCAGCUAUUCUAGCGUUUCUUAAAAUCCUAUUAUCAUUCAAACACAGCUAAAAUAUAAGUAUUAUGUAAAUAAAAAAAAUAUAAAUAGAUAGAUCAUAUAUAGAUGAAUCUUUCUUAAUGGUUUAGACUUUAGGGUUAAUGUAUUGGAUAUUCCUAAAUCAAUUUGAAUAUUAAUUAAUGUAUUGAAUAUUAAUUAUGGAAUGAAUGUAUUGAAUUUUUAUAGAUUUUUAUAAUCUAUUUCAAGCUUUUUCAUGCGACCAUGUGCUGGAGUGGGUUACGCGGAUCCGGGUCGGAUCCGUCUAACCCAAAAACCCAUUUACCCUAACCUUAAAAUAAUAAAAGUCUAUCUAUCUAUUGGGAAAAUCCAUCCUGCAGUAACCCUCGCCCUCCGCCCCCUUCUCGUUCUUCUUUCCCGUUCUUCUUUCUCGUUCUUCUAUAAUAUGAUAUUUUAUUAAUAGUUACUAUAAUAUGAUAUUUUAUUAAUAGUUACUAUAAUGUAAUAUUUUAUUAAUAGGUACUAUAAUGUAAUAUUUUAUUAAUAGGUACUAUAAUGUAAUAUUUUAUUAAUAGGUACUAUAAUGGAAUGUUUUAUUAAUAGGUACUAUAAUGUAAUAUUCUAUUAAUAGUUUUAUUAAACUAGAUGUAUAUAUUUUUUAAUACAUGAUUAUUAAUAGUAUUUUGUUUAGGUACCCAUAUUUUCAGGCGACCGCCUAGGCGGCCAUGCGGUCAUGGCCAUCGCAUGAACGCCUGAAAAAGCUUGAUCUAUUUUAUGAAUAGGUAGUGCCAAAAUUUUUAUAGGUUUUUAAAUUAGUACAAAAAAAAUUUCCCGCCUUCGGCAAUUCUUACCCCCCUGUCGGGCAAUCCUGGACACGCCACUAUAUGUGGAUCCGCCAAUGUUCUCAUUUCUUCACUACCUUAUUGAUUUUGUUUAUUAAUUUCAUAUUUCCCCUCCUUUCUAUCUAUCCUUCUACAGACCUCUUUCAGAAUUUGUUCUUCUUGCACAAUCUGUAACUACUAACUACGAACUGUGAGAUCUGGGAUUUGACAUCCAAAAAUUCCCAUUUUAAUUUCUUAGGUUUUUUCCUAUCCAAAUUAUCUGUCAACUGUCAGAUGAUUUUAUGCAAACACUUUCUAAUAUUUGCUUGUCGACAUCCUAUUUUGGGUUUGUAGCUUGAUUAAAUUUUCAUUUUUUAUCGUGUAAUCUAUAAUGUAUUACUCUCGGUAAUCAAGCUUAUCGACUUCAGCUCUGAUUUUUUGUUUCAUGUCUGCAGUUAUUUUAAGACCAAGCCACUGUCUUCAAUAACACGCUAAAAAAGCAUGGCCUCCCGUUUCUGGACUCAGGUAAUCACUGCUUGUGUUUUUUCCCCAAAGAAAAUACUAAAAUAGUGCUCCCUUCUUGGUACCCUUUAUUUUGAAGACUUAUUUAUUUCUCUUGUGAUGAAUUACCAGGGUGGUAGUGACACCGAUGAAGACGAAAGUGAGUAUGAAAUUGAUUCAGAGGAUGAGGUCGAGCCAAGUUCUGGUGCAAAACCAGCAAACCGUUAUCUGGAGGAAAAUGCCAGUGAUAGCGAUGACUCUGAUGGCCACAAACGUGUGGUGCGCUCUGCCAGAGACAAGCGCUUUGAUGAAAUGUUAGCUACUGUAGAUCAGAUACGGAAUGCCAUGAAGAUCAAUGAUUGGGUAAGCCUGCAAGAGAGCUUCGACAAAAUUAACAAACAGCUAGAGAAGGUCAUUCGGGUGAUGAAAACCGACACGGUCCCCAAUCUUUACCUCAAGGCUCUAAUCAUAUUAGAAGAUUUUCUUGUCGAGUCCCUGGCAAAUAAGGAUGCCAAGAAGAAGAUGAGCAGUAGCAAUGCCAAGGCAUUGAACUCAAUGAAGCAGAAACUAAAGAAGAAUAACAAGCAGUAUGAGGAGGCGAUUACAAACUACAGACAGAAACCCGAAACUGAGAGUGAAUCGGAGAGUGAUGCUAACGACUCUGAAUCAGUUUCAGAAUUUGAGGAAGAUCCAACAGCAGCUGCACCCUCCGAUGAGGACAACGUCGAUGACCAGGAUCAAAAUGAUAAGGGUUGGGAGCGACAGAUGAACAAAAAAGACAAACUUAUGGACAAGCAGUUCAUGAAGGACCCAAGUGAGAUCACAUGGGAAAUAGUUGACAAGAAGUUUAAAGAGAUUGUGGCUGCAAGAGGUAAAAAGGGAACCAGCAGAGCUGAGCAAGUUGAGCAGCUUACAUUUUUGACUCGAGUUGCAAAAACGCCUGCUCAGAAGCUUGAAAUCUUGUUCAGUGUGAUAUCUUCCCAGUUUGAUAUCAAUCUGAGUAUUAGUGGUCACAUGCCUAUAAAUAUUUGGAAAAAGUGCUUAGACAAUUUCCUAGGUGCGUUAGACAUCCUUGAGCAGAAUCCAAACAUAGUGGUUGAUCAAUCUGCCGAGCCUGAAGAUAAGGAAUCACAUAAAGAUUCAGAUUAUGAAGGAACCAUCCAUAUCUCAGGGAGCUUAGUAGCUUUGCUUGACCGGCUAGAUACUGAAUUUUACAAGAGCUUGCAAUGCAUUGAUCCCCAUACCAAGGAGUAUGUUGAUAGACUUAGAGAUGAGCCUAUGUUUUCUCUUCUUGCCCAAAAUGUUCAAAGAUAUUUGGAAAAAAUGGGUGAUCUUAAAGGAGCUUCCAAAGUGGCUUUGAGACAGGUUGAGCUUAUAUAUUAUAAGCCUCAGGAAGUUUAUGACUCGAUGAGAAAGCUAGCAGAACAUGAAGCUCUUGACAGAGAACUUGGUGGAGAUGAGAAUCAAAAUGCCGAAGAAAUCAAAGGACCUUCUGCAUUUAUUGUUAUCCCAAAAGUUGUUCCACGGAGUCCUACGUUCCCAGAAAGUAGCCGAGCAUUGAUGGAUAGAUUGGUUUCCCUUAUAUACAAGAGUGGUGAUGAAAGGACAAAGGCUCGAACAAUGCNNNNNNNNNNNNNNNNNNNNNNNNNNNNNNNNNNNNNNNNNNNNNNNNNNNNNNNNNNNNNNNNNNNNNNNNNNNNNNNNNNNNNNNNNNNNNNNNNNNNAUCUUUUACUGAUGAGUCAUCUCCAGGAAGGAGUCCAACAUAUGGACAUAUUGACACAAAUGCUGUUCAAUAGGGUGAUGGCUCAACUUGGUCUCUGUGCUUUUAGAGCUGGCCUUACUAAAGAAGCUCACGGAUGCCUUUCUGAACUCUAUUCAGGUGGAUACAAUUUGCAGCACACCUAGCGGGGAAUAAGCUAGAUCACUACCUCACUGGGAAGGUUGUGCUGAACACUGCAGUAACGAUAAGGCAAGACAAAUUGAUUUUAGUCUGGAUUAUAUCGUCACUGACCGCACCAAUUCUAUCGGUGGUAGCAAAUUGUGCAACUGCAUAAGAGGCUUGGAAGAGGUUACAGAUGGAGUUUGCAUCCAGCUCAAGGUCAAGAGUCCUUAGCAUACGCCAAAAGCUCCAAAGUUUGAAAAUUGGAGGGAGAUCCAUAACAUAAUAUUUGCAGGAAAUCGAUGGACUGUUAGAAACAUUAUCUGUGGCAGGGGAGGUAAUUACAGAUGCUGAUGUUAUUUUACUAGUUUUGGCAGGGCUUGGAGAUGAAUUUGAGGCCACAAUUCAGAAUGUGACCACAAGGAGAGUGGAGAUCUCGUAUAGAGAGUUAAAAGCAAUCCUAACUGAUGUUGAAAUCAGGAGAGGAAGAACUAAUACAACUUCUGCCCUUAGCGCGAACAUUGUUGAAGCUGAAAACCCUAAGAAGACAGGUAAGAGUUUUUACAAAACAGUACUUUGUCAAAUCUGUUCAGGAAAAGGGCAUGGAGCAUUCAAUUGCUACAACAAAUUGAAUAUCACUAAGUUUUCUCCAACACAUGGGAGAAAACUCGAUUCAGAUGGUCUGGCCAACAAGAUGUCAGCCAAUAUUGUGCAGAAAUCAACAUCAGUUUGGUACCCUGAGGCAGGUAUGAUUGAGGAAAUGUCUGUGAAUGUUAUGUAUGAGAACUGUGAAAAUGCAGGGCAAGAGAACACUGAGAAUUCAGUGAAUAUGGUGUCAAAUGCAAGGGCUUGGUUUGCUGAUUCUGGCUCAACAAACCACAUUACAGACAGAAAGGCAGAUAUUCAAGAUGGGUUGGAUUGUGAGAAUUCCAUCAACACUGCCGAUGGACAUCCUAUGAGGAUUGUUCACUCUGGUAAUUCUUUUAUUUCUAUCAAUAAAAGAAAGUUUUUUAUGAACCAGAUUUUAUGUGUACCUUUGCAUCAAAGAAUCUGAUUUCAGUAAAGAGAUUGUGUGCUGACAAUCAAGUGACUAUGGAAUUUGAUCCACAGAGGCUGUUAGUCAAGGAUAUCAACACUGAAGAAGUUCUGAUGAUUGGGAAGGAAAGUGGAGGACUAUAUCAAUUACCUAUACCUAUAGGAGGUUCAGGGAUGCAAAUUAAUCAAAUGGAGUUGGGGAUGAAAGCCACUGCUAGAGUGUGGCACUUGAGAUUGGGGCACCUACUCUCGAGGGCUAUGAAGCAACUCAACAAUCAGAAUUUAAUUAGAGUUUCAGAUACAAAUGAUAUCAAAAAUUUAUGUAAGGAAUGUUGUAUGGCAAAAACUAAGAGACUGAAACAUAAUAAAAGUACCUCAGUUUAUACUACUCCACUUGAACUUAUUUUUGCUGAUGUGUGGGGUCCUGCCCCGACUGAAUCCACAGAAGGAUAUAGGUAUUAUAUAAAUUUUGUGGAUAUUUCAACUAGCUACAAUUGGAUUUUCUUGAUGAGAAGAAAAUCUGAAGUUGAAGAAUGUUUUUUACAAUUCAAAUGCAUGAUUGAAAAACAGUAUGACAGGAAUAUAAAAGCUCUCCAAACUGAUAAUGCUAAAGAGUUUUUAAAACUGUCAAAAUUGUUAGGGAGUAAUGGAAUAAUACAUCGUCUUAGCUGUCCACACACUCACCCUCAGAUGACGAAGGUAGAGCACAGACACAAACAUAUAGUAGACACGGGGCUGGCUAUGUUGAAGCGUGCAGGGUUGGAAACACACUUCUGGGACUAUGCAUUCAUGGCAUAUGUCUAUCUUUAUAACAGAAACCCCACUGAAAUAUUAAAAGGUAUAUCACCUUAUCAAGCUUUACACCUCAAGUCCCUAGAUUAUUAUAAGUUGAAAAUAUUCGGAGCAGUGUGUUAUCCCAAUCUCAGACCAUAUAGGGAAAACAAAUUGAGUGACAAAUCAGCACCCUAUGUUUUUCUAGGAUAUCCAGUCAAUUGUGGUGGGUAUAUAUGCAUGGAUAUGAGGAAUGGGAAGACAUUGAUUUCCAGAGAUGUAAUCUUUGAAGAAAAUAAAUUUCAGUCAAAGAAAACAAUUAUUUCUCAGUCUCCAACGCAAUCAGUUCAGACAGAGGAGAGUGAGUCAGAUGAGGGUGAAGAAGAGUAUGAACAGAACAGAAUAAACGACAAUUCAGAACAGGAAGUGGCAGAUAUUUCAGAACAUGCAGUGGCUUCUGAAUCUACUACACAGUCUGGACUUCCUAUCACUUCUACUACAGAUGAGUUACCACUUACCACUAAUUCAGUACUGUAGAAGAGCACCUGUUGCAGUGGAAAAUAAUAUGGAUGAAAGAUCUGAUGACUCUGGAUCGAGCUCUGAAGAAGAGUAUAAUCCAAAGAUAGCAGAAAAUCCAGUGACAAAACACAUACCUAUCACUAGAGCAUCUAGGAGAAUAGUCAAGAAAAUUCAGAGAUAUGCUUGCAAUAUAUCUCCCACACCAAAACAAACCCCAGUGAAAUAUGCCUUGCAAGACCCUGAAUGGAAGACAGCAAUGCAGGAGGAAUACAAUGCUCUUGUGAGGAAUGGGAGUUGGGAACUCAUCCCAAGGAAUCCAGUGGAUAAUAUAAUCAACAGUAGAUGGCUGUUCAAAGUGAAAGAAAGGUCAGAUGGGACAGUAGAGAGGUUGAAAGCAAGAUUGGUGGCCAAUGGCACCAAUCAAGUAGAAGGACUGGAUUAUAAUGAGACAUUCAGCCCUGUUGUCAAGCACAAAACAAUCAGAAUAGUGCUUACAUUGGCUAUUUGGCUGUAUCUAAAAGUUGGUCACUUCAACAGGUGGAUAUAAGCAAUGCAUUUUUGCAUGGACAGUUAGAUGAAAGGAUUGUCAUGAGGCAGCCCAUGGGAUUUCUUGAUGAAGAAAGACCCACACAUGUGUGUCUACUGAAGAAGGCUCAGUAUGGAUUAAAACAGGCCUCAAGGAUGUGGUUUCGUAGAUUGAAACAAUUUUUGUAUCUAAAAGGCUUUGUGGCAAGCAGUAUCUGAUGAGUCACUGUUUAUAAAAUUUGGAGAGGAAGUCAUCUACAUACUUGUAUUUGUAGAUGACAUGGUCAUUACAGGCUCAAGUACUAAAGGCAUAGAAGUAUUUUUGAAUGAAUUAAAAUCUGAAUUUGCUGUGAGAUUGUGUGGAAACUUGGAGUACUUUUUGGGUAUCAGAGUUAGGAAGCACUUUAAUGGUUUAUUCUUGGACCAACAGUUAUACUUGGUGAAUUUCCUUAAUAAGCAUGGGUACGAAAACCUAAAACCCAUUGCUACACCUAUGCAACCUAAUACUGAUUUUUACUCAGAGGCAGAACAAAUUCAGAACUCUACUGAAUAUAGGCAGUUGGUGGGUUCACUGCAGUAUCUUACUACCACAAGGGCGGAUAUUUCUUAUGCAGUGAACAAGUUAGCUCAGUUCAUGGAGAAACCCAAAGAAAUACAUUGGCAGAUGUUAAAAAGAAUUCUGAGAUACCUAUCUGGUACACACAGCAUGGGGAUUGUGCUCAGAAAAACUUGUUCCAAUGAGAUUACAGCAUAUAGUGAUGCAGAUUGGGCAUCUGAUUCAACUGACAGAAAAAGCCAGAUUGGGCACCUCUUAUAUAUGGGUGAAUCACUAAUAGUUUGGUGUUCUCAAAAACAAUCUGCGGUGUCUAGGUCCAGCACUGAGUCAGAAUUCAGGGCAAUCACAGCUGCCACUGCAGAAGUUGAAUGGGUAUCUAAUUUGCUGAUAGAGAUGGGAGUAAAAGUAGAUACACCACAUAAACUGUGGUGUGACAACUUGGGAGCAACUCAACUGGCUGCAAACCCUGUGUUCCACACUAAAAUCAAGCAUGCUGCAAUUGAUUUCAAUUUUGUACAGGAGAGGAUGGAGAAGAAGGUUAUUCAAGUAAUUCACAUUCCAAAUACCAUGCAACGAGCUGAUACACUAACUAAGGCAUUAAAGCCGGCAUCAUUCAUGGAGCUAAGAGCCAACCUCAUCGGCUACCACAGAUGAGCUUGAGGGGGACUAUUAGUGAUAUUAAAUAAAGCUAUUUGUUUUCAUUUGCUUGUAAUUACAAAUUAGACCUUAUAAUACUAAAUACUAAUUGUAAUUAGUUAGUAUAAAUUAGUUCUUAACUGAAUUCAGUUAAGAUCUAAUAUUGAACUCAAGUGUAUAUAAACACAUCCAAUAUAUGUUUAGAGGGAUCAAUCACUUGAUUCCCACAUUUCCUAUCUUUCCAGUUUCACUCAUAAUUACCCACUGAAAAUCCAUUCUUCAUUAUUUCUCUCAUAGUCUAAUGUUCAUUUUAUUAUAAUUAUUUUCAUUUACUAUUUAUCAAUUGACUGUCUAUGCUAAUUGACUAUGGCCGUUCUUUGUCUAUUUAUUUGGAUGUCUUUUAUUAUAAAAAAAUACAGUGUGAUAAUUAGAUUUUUAUAUGUGAUUGCUGCUGUUAUUGUAAAUACAAUUGCCUUGUUUUCUUGUGUAAUCAUGAUGCAUUCAUUUGCAUAUUGAAUGUUUUCGUAGUGCAUCUUUUUAUGUUGUAAGAUAUGGAUUUAUUUGGGUUUGUUUUGUUUUUUGCAGGAAAAAAUCGAGAGGAUGAGACAAAUGCCCUACCAUAUGCACAUAAAUCUUGAGCUUCUAGAAGCAGUCCAUUUAAUUUGUGCUAUGCUCCUUGAGGUUCCCAACAUGGCUCUAAACUCAAAUGAUGUUAGACAGAAAGUGAUGAAUAAGAAUUUCCGUAGACUCCUUGAUAUUAGUGAACGACAGACUUUUGGAGGACCUCCUGAAAAUGUCAGAGACCAUAUAAUGGCUGCGGCAAAAGCUCUUAGAAAGGGAGAUUUUGAGAAGACCUUUGAUUUCAUCAGCUCCCUUGAUACAUGGAAGCUUUUGAAGAACAAAGAAAGUGUUCUGGCAAUGUUGAAAUCCAAGAUCAAAGAAGAAGCUUUAAGGACAUAUUUAAUUUCCAAUGCGUGUAGCUACGUGUCGUUGAGUUUGGAU
rnacentral:lncRNA from 1 species